rnacentral:lncRNA from 1 species
CACAUUGUUUUCUUUAUACGUCCCAACGGGAUUGGUUCUGCGACCUUCGUUUGUAACGAUUCACCAAGAUAAUUCACAUAAAGUGCCAGGCAUAGAGCCUGGCAUGGAGUAAUUGUUCAGUAAUUGCAAGUUCUUCCACUUGACCAUGAAAGCAGUACCUUCUCUUGCGACAGCGUCAUCCCAAAAGGAUCAGACUCACCCUAAGUGGCAUGGCUCCCUUUAUCACAGCAUCGCCACCGCCGUAAGCACUUUGCAUCUUUUAAUGUAUUAAUGAGCUAAUCUUACUAGUCAUUUCUCACAAUCACCUUUUGCAGAUGAAGAAACUGCAGCACAGUGAAGUUCAGGGACUUGUCAAUGUUCACAUGAGCCAAUUAGUGGUGUUCAUCACUGUCAACAGCCAUGUGCCAGGCAAUGCGCUGGAAUCUGGGGAUACGAUGGUUGUAAGAAGCCAACUCUGACCUGACGAGGUAGCUGAAAGAAUUGAGCUAAUGGAGUAAGUCGUGUUUCUUGUUUUUUAGCUUUUAGAAUACCCUUUUCUCCAGGGCCUUGGUUAGUCAUCAACACAGAAAAAAGCAGGAACGUUGAAGAGAGCUACAUAAUAAUAUUUAAUUUUUACUUUCUUCAUUAAAUACUAAUAUACUUUAAAACAGUGGCUGGGUAAAUGAAGAAAAAUUUCUUUAUUUUAAUCAUUUUUUAAAAAUCCACUGGAGUAAGCCACUAUAUGAUUUUUAUAUAGUAUUUCAAAUG